GCCCUAAUGCACUUUUGGAGCAAAAUUUAAUAUAAGACCCUUUCUUAUUUUCGGGGAAACACGGUAGCAGUUUCUCCACCAGGAUCAAAUCCUUUGUAAAGCGAAAGUGCCUUAAUUAUCUGUUUAAAACCAAGGCACUCCAAAAUACCCAGUGCAAUGACAGGAAUUACUGACAACAGUACAGUGUUAUUUGGAAAAUUUAUUUCUCCUUCUAGUGAAUGAAGAUUGCAGCUAAGCUCAGAAGGAUCAGUGGAAACUGAAGAAGGUAGCAGAUAAUACAAUCACUGCCUGCUAAUCAAAAUGUCUCAGUAUAUCAACACUUUAAGCCUUUCUUAUUGUUGUUGUUUCGGCUUAUACAUCACUCCAUAGCACUAAAACACUCUCUGGGCAGCUUACAACAUUAAUUAUGCAAACAAGACUUUGUCCCCCAGCAAACUGGGCAUCCUAGUACUGCACUGCGCUUCCAGCAACUCUAGACAGCUCUGCUGCUGAUCUGCCACACCAACCAACCUGGGACAGAAGUACCUUGGCUGACUUGAGAGCAAGUCUAGCAUUGCUAGGGUGUUGUGCUUAUUAUUUAAAAACUACUCCCAUGUGAACGGAGCUCCAGAAGAGUUGCAGAAUAUCUCGAUUCCACUUCUCUAAUGGAAAAGUAGCUGCUGCUAAAACUAGAACAAUGUUCCUGUGGACAGUUCUGUGUACAAGUGAUAUCUCAGAAAUGAAACAUGAAUGAGCCUUGUCAUAGGCCUAUUUUUAGCAUUGCUUUCUUGGUUGAGCAUCAUUCAGCUGAAACAAAACUGUUACAACCGUUGGCUGAAAGUCACUAUUUACUUCUUUACAUACUACACAUACAGGUCAGCCAAGACUGCAAAUGUCUGACCAACCUUAUAACAUUUUUUUCAGUGGUCGUGCUGUGAAACAGAUAUUUUGGGAUAGAAAUCUUAGUAUUUUUGAGUAAUUUAACCUGCCCUGACCUCUUGCUGUUUCCUUGUAUAAUGUGAGCACUGCAGAUAAUGUGACACACUUUGCCCCCACUUCUGAAGGUCACGUGUAGGGUCAAGGCUGUGGCUGCGGCUGCAAUGCCUCUCACCCCAGAUGGAGGGGGAAAAGAAAAUGGGGAAAAAGGCGGGCAAUUGCUGCUUUUGAAAACCCCUGGGAGCAUGGACUUUUCCUAUCAAACAAGGACAUGGAUUCUAUGGUCUUGGCAGUGUGCUCCCCAUCCUAGAGGACUGGCGUCGGUAGUAACCUGGAUAGUGAGCUGGAGAGGUGCAAAACGUCGGCCAAUGAGGAGGUUCAGGACAAAGGUCCACCAGGAGAGCUUUUAGCCUGGGAAACAGAGACUUUUGACGUCAAUACCGACUUCGGUCUUGAUGUCGAUUUGGAUUUUUCCUUUUGCCCUGGUGAUGGUGGCGUCGGGCUCAACAUUGAUUUGGAUGGCCCACAGCGUGAAACCGGUGAUGAGGUAGGUUCCAUCGAUGUGGAUGGAGGGUAAAGAGAUUUCUCUCAGAGAUGAGAUCUAAGUCCCUGAAGCCAAUGUUUGAAGGCUGGUUUAGUGAGCCUCUUGCACGCAGAACAAGAUUAUGUCUGGUGCUCUUCACCCAAACAGAAAAGACAGCGAUCAUGUCUGUCUGAUUGCGGGAUCUUAUUAAUGCAGAGUACACACCGCUUGAAUGGCGUUGGAGAGGCCAUAAAAGGGGAAAGGUGGCAGAGGGGGGGUAGGUUGGAGAGUGAAGGAGUGAACAAAAAUGGAUAAAACUCAAUGGGUAAAAGAAAAAUAACUCAUGGGAGAAUGUUGAAUUGAAAAUGGAAAGGUAGAUGAGAAAAAAGGGUAAGGUACAGAGUACCGAUUUGAAAGAAGUUGGUCUAGCA